CGAGCACGCGCGUGUGGCAUAUCAAUAAGCGGAGGAAAAGAAACUAACAAGGAUUCCCUUAGUAACGGCGAGUGAAGCGGGAAGAGCUCAAAUUUGAAAUCUUCAAGGUUCUACCUUGACGAAUUGUAGUUUAUAGAAGUGUUUUCUGUUAGUGGAGUGGCAAAAGUUCUUUGGAAUAGGACAUCAUAGAGGGUGAGAAUCCCGUAUUUGGUCAUUCCUCCUAGCGUUGUGAUACACUUUCAACGAGUCGGAUUGUUUGGGAAUGCAGUCCAAAAUGGGUGGUAAAUUUCAUCUAAAGCUAAAUAUUGGCGAGAGACCGAUAGCGAACAAGUACCGUGAGGGAAAGAUGAAAAGAACUUUGAAAAGAGAGUUAAACAGUACGUGAAAUUGUCAAAAGGGAAGCGUUUGACACCAGUGUUGUUUUUCCGAAAAUCAAUUACGAAUGUUUUAUUUUUGAGGAGUUAUGACUUCAUCGGCUUGCUCCUUUCUUUAUGAAACUUUCUUAAUGCACUUUUCGGUUAACAAGUCAACAUCAAUUUCUUUUGUUGUAAAAGGGUAUGAGGAAGGUGGCUUUCUUUUCGGAGAAAGUGUUUAUAGCCUUGUGCCUCUGCAAUCGGAGAGAUUGAGGUCUGCAGCGUAGAUCCUUCGGGGUUAGAUACAGUUUGUGCUAAGUUAUAGCUUUUCAUAGACAACUUGUUGACUAUGUUUAGUCUUGUAGCUUACUCGCUUAUGCUAUUUUACCUACGCUUAGGAUGUUGAUGUGAUACUGCGAGCA
rnacentral:rRNA from 1 species